rnacentral:rRNA from 1 species
GAAAAACGCAAGUGACGUGCCUAACACAUGCAAAUUUAAUAGUUAUUUUUUAACUAUAGUGAAUUGGUGAGUAAUAUAUGAAAAUUUAAUUUUAGAUUAGAAAUAUUCCUAAUAACUUAGGGUUAAUUUCUGAUAAGCGCAUUUGUGCUUUAAAAAGUUAAUACUGUCUAAAAAAAAGUUCAUAUCUGAUUAGCUAGUUAGUAAGGUAAUAGCUUACUAAGGCGAAGAUCAGUAGCUGCCCUGAGAGGGGGAUCAGCCACAUUGGGAUUGAAAUACAGCCCAAACUCCUACGGGAGGCAGCAGUGGGGAAUCUUAGACAAUGGGGGCAACCCUGAUCUAGCCAUGCCGCGUGAGUGAUGAAGGCCCUAGGGUUGUAAAGCUCUUUCAGCUGGGAAGAUAAUGACGGUACCAGCAGAAGAAGCCCCGGCUAACUCCGUGCCAGCAGCCGCAGUAACAC